CCUACGGGGGGCUGCAGUGGGGAAUAUUGCACAAUGGGGGGAACCCUGAUGCAGCGACGCCGCGUGGGUGAAGAAGCGCCUCGGCGCGUAAAGCCCUGUCAGCAGGGAAGAAAAUGACGGUACCUGAAGAAGAAGCCCCGGCUGACUACGUGCCAGCAGCCGCGGUUAAACGUAGGGGGCAAGCGUUAUCCGGAUUUACGGGGUGUAAAGGGGGCGCAGGCGGGGAUGCAAGCCAGGAGUGAAAGCCCGGGGGCGAACCCCGGGACUGCUCUUGGAACUGCGUGGCUGGAGUGCAGGAGGGGCAGGCGGAAUGCCUGGUGUAGCGGUGAAAUGCGUAGAUAUCAGGAGGAACACCGGUGGCGAAGGCGGCCUGCUGGACUGCAACUGACGUUGAGGCCCGAAAGCGUGGGGAGCAAACAGGAUUAGAUACCCCUGUAGUC
rnacentral:rRNA from 1 species